CGGACGGGUGAGUAAUGUCUGGGAAACUGCCUGAUGGAGGGGGAUAACUACUGGAAACGGUAGCUAAUACCGCAUAACGUCGCAAGACCGAAGAGGGGGACCUUCGGGCCUCUUGCCAUCGGAUGUGCCCAGAUGGGAUUAGCUAGUAGGUGGGGUAACGGCUCACCUAGGCGACGAUCCCUAGCUGGUCUGAGAGGAUGACCAGCCACACUGGAACUGAGACACGGUCCAG
rnacentral:rRNA from 1 species